UACGAAGGGUGCAAGCGUUACUCGGAAUUACUGGGCGUAAAGCGUGCGUAGGUGGUUGUUUAAGUCUGCUGUGAAAGCCCUGGGCUCAACCUGGGAAUUGCAGUGGAUACUGGGCGACUAGAGUGUGGUAGAGGAUAGUGGAAUUUCCGGUGUAGCAGUGAAAUGCGUAGAGAUCGGAAGGAACAUCUGUGGCGAAGGCGACUAUCUGGGCCAACACUGACACUGAGGCACGAAAGCGUGGGGAGCAAAC
rnacentral:rRNA from 1 species